rnacentral:rRNA from 1 species
GCUUAACACAUGCAAGUCGAGGGGAAACGACAUCGAAAGCUUGCUUUUGAUGGGCGUCGACCGGCGCACGGGUGAGUAACGCGUAUCCAACCUGCCCACCACUUGGGGAUAACCUUGCGAAAGUAAGACUAAUACCCAAUGAUAUCUCUAGAAGACAUCUGAAAGAGAUUAAAGAUUUAUCGGUGAUGGAUGGGGAUGCGUCUGAUUAGCUUGUUGGCGGGGUAACGGCCCACCAAGGCGACGAUCAGUAGGGGUUCUGAGAGGAAGGUCCCCCACAUUGGAACUGAGACACGGUCCAAACUCCUACGGGAGGCAGCAGUGAGGAAUAUUGGUCAAUGGGCGAGAGCCUGAACCAGCCAAGUAGCGUGCAGGAUGACGGCCCUAUGGGUUGUAAACUGCUUUUAUAAGGGAAUAAAGUGAGUCUCGUGAGACUUUUUGCAUGUACCUUAUGAAUAAGGACCGGCUAAUUCCGUGCCAGCAGCCGCGGUAAUACGGAAGGUCCGGGCGUUAUCCGGAUUUAUUGGGUUUAAAGGGAGCGUAGGCCGGAGAUUAAGCGUGUUGUGAAAUGUAGACGCUCAACGUCUGCACUGCAGCGCGAACUGGUUUCCUUGAGUACGCACAAAGUGGGCGGAAUUCGUGGUGUAGCGGUGAAAUGCUUAGAUAUCACGAAGAACUCCGAUUGCGAAGGCAGUUCACUGGAGCGCAACUGACGCUGAAGCUCGAAAGUGCGGGUAUCGAACAGGAUUAGAUACCCUGGUAGUCCGCACGGUAAACGAUGGAUGCCCGCUGUUGGUCUGAAUAGGUCAGCGGCCAAGCGAAAGCAUUAAGCAUCCCACCUGGGGAGUACGCCGGCAACGGUG